rnacentral:rRNA from 1 species
AUUGAACGCUGGCGGCAGGCCUAACACAUGCAAGUCGAGCGGAUGAAGGGAGCUUGCUCCUGGAUUCAGCGGCGGACGGGUGAGUAAUGCCUAGGAAUCUGCCUGGUAGUGGGGGAUAACGUCCGGAAACGGGCGCUAAUACCGCAUACGUCCUGAGGGAGAAAGUGGGGGAUCUUCGGACCUCACGCUAUCAGAUGAGCCUAGGUCGGAUUAGCUAGUUGGUGGGGUAAAGGCCUACCAAGGCGACGACCCGUAACUGGUCUGAGAGGAUGAUCAGUCACACUGGAACUGAGACACGGUCCAGACUCCUACGGGAGGCAGCAGUGGGGAAUAUUGGACAAAGGGCGAAAGCCUGAUCCAGCCAUGCCGCGUGUGUGAAGAAGGUCUUCGGAUUGUAAAGCACUUUAAGUUGGGAGGAAGGGCAGUAAGUUAAUACCUUGCUGUUUUGACGUUACCAACAGAAUAAGCACCGGCUAACUUCGUG